GACGAACGCUGGCGGCGUGCCUAAUACAUGCAAGUCGACCUUAGUGGCGAACGGGUGAGUAACACGUGGGUAACCUGCCCAUCAGAAGGGGAUAACACUUGGAAACAGGUGCUAAUACCGUAUACUGAUGGAUGGACCCGCGGUGCAUUAGCUAGUUGGUGAGGUAACGGCUCACCAAGGCCACGAUGCAUAGCCGAACGGAGAGGGUGAGCGGCCACAUGGGGACUGAGACACGGCUCAGAAGACUCGUGGAGGCAUCAGUAGGGAAUCGUUGGCAAUGGACUAAAGUCUGACCGAGAAACGACGCGGGAGGGAAGAAGGGUGUCGGACCGUAAAACUCGUUUGUUAGAGAAGCGGGAGCUAACCAGAAAGCCACGGCUAACUACGGGCAAGCAGCCGCGGUAAUAC
rnacentral:rRNA from 1 species